rnacentral:rRNA from 1 species
UACGUAGGGUGCAAGCGUUGUCCGGAAUCAUUGGGCGUAAAGCGCGCGUAGGUGGCUUCGUAAGUCCGUUGUGAAAGUCAAAGGCUCAACCUUUGAAUGCCGAUGGAUACUGCGAAGCUAGAGUACGGAAGAGGCGAGUGGAAUUCCUGGUGUAGCGGUGGAAUGCGCAGAUAUCAGGAGGAACACCGGUGGCGAAGGCGGGUCUCUGGGCCGAUACUGACGCUGAGGAGCGAAAGCGUGGGGAGCGAACAGG